GAGGUGUUGCUGAGACUGAGCUGCUGCUGGUACUUCCUUGUUUGCCAGGAAGUGGCAGCGCGUGGUGGUGGUCCACCGGGAGCAGCAGUUGUGGUCCAUCUUUUCCUCACAGGCUUAGGUGCACUCUCUUUUCUAUCUGCAUCUCUCUCUAUCUCCCGUUCAAGAACCUCCUGUGAAGGGAGAUCUCCUGGAGGCUGAGGGCACCCAAUAGUCGUGAAACAGAGAAUGGUGUCCCUGAAACAACACUGACUCGGUGUCGUGUGGCUGCCCACUAGUGGCAAGGGCGCACCCAUCGACUAAAAUUGAGGGCACCACCCUUGGCAGUCCGAUCUUUACGAGCUUACAUGCGCGUUGGCCUCCGAUGCUUAUGGUUGCAACUGAUCAUGAGCAAUCUUCUCACCACAUCAAUGCCUAUGUCACUGGUUUCGAUCAUUUCAUAGGUUCCAUGUUGCAUGAGUCGAGGAUUGGAUACCAUAGUUGUGUUGUCCACAGCUCCCGAAGAUGAGCCAACACAUUGGCACCGGGUUCUGAUUUCUGAAGACUGCCCUUUUACUUAGUGAAACACUUCACUUCUUUAUUUCCUUGUGCCCUAUUUUAUGUAAUAUGCACUUGUUUUUUGCAGAUUAUUUUCUACCCUAUGAUCCUACAGAAGUGACACAUGGUCAAAUUAUUGAAGGCUCUGAUGAUCUCCCCGAGGGAGGAGAAUCCAUGUCUGAAUAUUCACUUGGAGUGCUUAGGUCAAACCUUGGUGAGGGAUUUUAUGAUGUGGUGAACUUGUGUGAUUCGCCAAUAUCAAUCGCACCAUUUGCAAGAGUCUCUUUCAGAAACUGCAACUCAAAGUCACUUGUCAUUGAUGUUGAAUUUCUUGUGUAACCAUUUAGUCAGUAGUAGAACAACGACAGCUCAAAAAAGUAAAAGAGCAACAACAUCGAAGAUGCCUCCAUUUUUUCUCUUAUUUUUUGGCUGUUUUUACUGGAGAUGGAAGACCUGUAGGAUUUUGCAUCGGAGCGUGAUUAAGAUUACAUUGCAGAAAUUCAGUUUGCCAAGUGUUUUUUGUUUACCUUUGUACUGCUAUGUUUUGUGACCUAUAGAUAUGGUCAAUCCGGAGUUC